CCCGACUGCUAUUUGGGUGAGGAUAAGCCAUGCGAGUCGAAUGGGAUACCGAAAUUUCCCAUGGCGAACUGCUCAGUAACACAUGAUCAACUUACCCUAUAGAGAAACAUAACCUCGGGAAACUGAGGAUAAUUUUUCAUAGUUGAAUAGGCUUGGAAAAGUUUUUCAAUAAAAGGGAUAAAAAAAAUGGUUUUUAUCUGCUAUAGGAUAGGAUCGUGGACGAUUAUGGUUGUCGGUGAGGUAAUGGCUCACCAAGCCGAUAAUCGAUAGGGGCCGUGAGAGCGGGAGCCCCGAGAUGGGUACUGAGACAACGACCCAGGCCUUACGAGGCGCAGCAGGCGCGGAACCUCCACAAUACACGAAAGUGUGAUGGGGUUACCCAAAGUGUUCAAUUCUGAACUGUGGUAGGUGAGUAAUGUCCCCUACUAGAAAGGAGAGGGCAAGGCUGGUGCCAGCCGCCGCGGUAAAACCAGCUCUUCAAGUGGUCGGGAUAAUUAUUGGGCUUAAAGUGUCCGCAGCCGGUUUAGUAAGUUCCUGGUAAAAUCGGGUAGCUUAACUAUCUGUAUGCUAGGAAUACUACUAUACUAGAGGGCGGGAGAAGUCUGAGGUACUACAGGGGUAGGGGUGAAA
rnacentral:rRNA from 1 species